ACUCCUACGGGAGGCAGCAGUGGGGAAUAUUGCACAAUGGGGGAAACCCUGAUGCAGCCAUGCCGCGUGUGUGAAGAAGGCCUUCGGGUUGUAAAGCACUUUCAGUAGGGAGGAAGGUAGUGUAGUUAACACCUGCAUUAUUUGACGUUACCUACAGAAGAAGCACCGGCUAAACUCCGUGCCAGCAGCCGCGGGUAAUACGGAGGGUGCGAGCGUUAAUCGGAAUUACUGGGCGUAAAGCGCAUGCAGGUGGUUUGUUAAGUCAGAUGUGAAAGCCCGGGGCUCAACCUCGGAAUUGCAUUUGAAACUGGCAGACUAGAGUACUGUAGAGGGGGGUAGAAUUUCAGGUGUAGCGGUGAAAUGCGUAGAGAUCUGAAGGAUACCGGUGGCGAAGGCGGCCCCCUGGACAGAUACUGACACUCAGAUGCGAAAGCGUGGGGAGCAAACAGGAUUAGAUACCCUGGUA
rnacentral:rRNA from 1 species